UGACAACAAAACGAAAGAAUGAUGGAGCCACAGUACCUCACAACAUAAAUAUAACAGGAGGGAAUAAUAUAAAACAGCAGAAUGUUGCCAAUUUCGUGUAUGGUGGUAUGGGGAAUACCAUCAACAACAGUACCUGGAUUUCACAAUCUGACACCAGCUACAUUUAAGAAGAUCUUGCUCACACAAUUCAGACAAGGGACUUGCCGGGUGAUGAACAAUCCUCCCGAUAUCAACCAACAGAUUCACCUCAGAAAGUGAUCAGAAUGAAUGAUGCCACAUCAGUGUGACUGUAGGUGGUUAUAUUAUGACACUAAUCAAAUCUGAAUGAAUUUAUGCAAAAGCACUGUGACUAUGUCCAGGUUGUGUACACCGAAGCUGACUAUACAAAUCUGAAUGACUUUUGUGGUUUACUGCAGAAACAUAAUUGACUUUAGAUAUUCUUCUUCCAUGAAAUUCUUCUGAGAUUUGACUAAUUUGUUUAUUAAGAAAUUGGCAUUGAAGCGUCUGUUCUGUAAGGCCUUGCAAACACCACUGGUUACUUUAUGCUAGUUCCUCUUGCUUGAUCAAAUUUCAAUUUGUGAUAUGUACCAACGAAAUGCCAUAUAAUCAAUAAACAAGAU